rnacentral:rRNA from 1 species
GGAAGGGCACAUGGGGGAUGCCUAGGCUCUCGAUGGCGAAGAAGGACGUGACAAGCUGCGAAAAGCCGCGGUUAGGGGCAAAUGCCCGUCGACCCGCGGAUGUCCGAAUGGGGGAACCCGCCGGGAUUGCGUCCCGGCAUGCGCGUAGCGCAGGCGAACGCGGGGAACUGAAACAUCUAAGUACCCGCAGGAAAAGAAAAUAACAAUGAUUCCGCCAGUAGCGGCGAGCGAACGCGGACUAGCCCAAACCGCGCGGGUCGAGGCCCGUGCGGGGUAAUAGGACCGGCGCCGCGGCCGGAGCGGAGCGUAGCGGAAGCGUCUGGAAAGUCGCGCCGCAGCGGGUGAGAGCCCCUUACGCGAAACGCGCCGUGAGGCCAAGCCGGCACCUGAGUAACCCGGGGCACGAGAAAUCCCGGGCGAAUUGUCGGGGACCAUCCCGAAAGGCUGAAUACAAGCGAGAGACCGAUAGUGGACAAGUACCGUGAGGGAAAGGUGGGAAGCACCCCUGGCGGGGAGUGAAAGAGACCCUGAAACCAUGUGCCCGCAAGCGGUCGGAGCGGCUUCGUGCCGUGACGGCGUGCCUUUUGCAUAAUGAGCCUACGAGUCGCCGUGUCCGGCGAGGCUAAGCGCGAUGACGCGCGGAGCCGCAGCGAAAGCGAGUCCGAAGAGGGCGAUUUAGUCGGACGUGGCGGACGCGAAACCGUGUGAUCUACCCUUGCGCAGGCUGAAGGGGGGGUAAAGCCUCCUGGAGGGCCGAACCGGUAGGCGUUGAAAAGCCUUCGGAUGACGUGAGGGUAGGAGUGAAAGGCCAAUCAAACACGGAGAUAGCUCGUACUCCCCGAAAUGUAUUUAGGUGCAGCCUCGGGAGGAGUGCGGCGGAGGUAGAGCGACCGACAGGAUGCGAGGGCUUCACCGCCUGUCAAGUCCUGACGAACUCCGAAUGCCGCCGCAUGCUGCCCGGGAGUAAGGGCGCGGGUGCUAAGGUCCGCGUCCGAGAGAGGAACAACUCAGACCACCGGCUAAGGUCCCGGAAUCCGGGCCGAGUUGGAGCCAAUAACGAGGUGGGCCCGCAGAGACAGCCAGGAUGUUGGCUUGGAAGCAGCCAUUCAUUCAAAGAGUGCGUAACAGCUCACUGGUCGAGGGGUCGUGCGUGGAUAAUAAUCGGGUGUAAGGCAGGUACCGAAGGCGCGGGAUAGAAAUACUAAAAGUAUCGGUAGGGGAGCAUUCCAUGUCCGUCGAAUGCGUACGGUGACGUACUCUGGAGGUCAUGGAAAAGCAAAUGCAGGCAUAAGUAACGAUAAGGAGGGUGAGAUUCCCUCCCGCCGGAAGGCCAAGGUUUCCCGGGCAAUGCCAAUCAGCCCGGGGUCAGUCGGGUCCUAAGGCUCAGCCGAGCGGCGAGGUCGAUGGACAAACGGUCAACAUUCCGUUACUGCCAUCAGGAGCGAUGCGGGGACGGAGCAGUGGAACCACCGCGGGGUGACGGAAAUCCCCGUUGAAGGGUGUAGCCGUUGAGGAGUGUAGUGAAGUACGCGUUCCGAGGCGAACCUGACAGUACCGCUUUCCCCUCGGGGACGGUGGACAGUGUGGGUAAUCAGACUCCCGAGAAAAUCCGCUAAGCGUUAAUCCUGUAGGCACCCGUACCGUAAACGGACACACGUGGCCAAGUAGAAUAUACUGAGGCGUUGGAAGAUUCAUGGUUAAGGAACUAGGCAAACUGACCCCGUAACUUCGGGAGAAGGGGUCCUCGCGUAGCAGCGAGGCGCAGAGAAUAGGUCCAGGCAACUGUUUACCAAAAACACAGGGCUGUGCGAAAUCGAAAGAUGCAGUAUACAGCCUGACACCUGCCCGGUGCCGGAAGGUUAAGAGGAGUCGUCACCCUUCGGGGGAAGCGUCGAAUUGAAGCCCCGGUAAACGGCGGCCGUAACUAUAACGGUCCUAAGGUAGCGAAAUUCCUUGUCGGGUAAGUUCCGACCUGCACGAAUGGUGUAAUGAUCUGGACGCUGUCUCAACCGUGAGCUCAGUGAAAUUGUAGUAUCGGUGAAGAUGCCGAUUACCCGCGAUGGGACGAAAAGACCCCGUGAACCUUUACUGCAGCUUAGCGCUGGCGUUGGUCGUCCGAUGUGUAGGAUAGGCCGGAGGCAAUGAGUGAGGGGCGCCAGCCCUUCAGGAGCCGCCGUUGAAAUACGGCCCUUUGGCCGUCCGGCGCCUAACGCGCGAAUUGUGCGGACACCGCUUGGCGGGCAGUUUGACUGGGGUGGUCGCCUCCAAAAGCGUAACGGAGGCUUCCAAAGGUGCCCUCGGGCCGAUCGGCAACCGGCCUUAUAGAGUGCAAUGGCAUAAGGGCGCUUGACUGGGAGGGAGACAUCCCGAGCAGGCAGGAAACUGGGGCAUAGUGAUCCGGCGGACGUGUAUGGAAACUCCGUCGCUCAAAGGAUAAAAGGUACUCCGGGGAUAACAGGCUGAUCCCCCCCAAGAGCUCACAUCGACGGGGUGGUUUGGCACCUCGAUGUCGGCUCGUCACAUCCUGGGGCUGGAGAAGGUCCCAAGGGUUGGGCUGUUCGCCCAUUAAAGUGGCACGCGAGCUGGGUUCAGAACGUCGUGAGACAGUUCGGUCUCUAUCUAUCGUGGGCGCAGGAGCUUUGCGCGGGUCUGCCACUAGUACGAGAGGACCGUGGCGGACGGACCUCCGGCGAACCAGUUGUGCCGCCAGGCGCACCGCUGGGUACCCGUGUCCGGUUAGGAUAAGCGCUGAAAGCAUCUAAGUGCGAAGCCAUCCGCAAGAUGAGAGCUCCUAUUCGAGGGUCGUCCGAGACGAGGACGUCGAUAGGGCGCAGGUGUAAAGACGGCGACGUCAAAGCCGAGCGCUACUAAUUGCCCGAAAUCUUUUCCU